rnacentral:snRNA from 1 species
AUACUUCAAGAUACUAUGAUCACGAAGGUGGUUUUCCUAGGGUAAGGCUUAUCUAUUACACUUCGGAUGUGCUGACCCCUGCACUUUCCCCAAAUGUAGGAAAUUCAACUGCAUAAUUUGUGGUGGUGAAGGACUGUGUUCACCCUAUCCUGAA